rnacentral:rRNA from 1 species
UACGUAGGGUGCGAGCGUGUCCGGAAUUAUUGGGCGUAAAGAGCUUGUAGGCGGUCUGUCGCGUCUGCUGUGAAAAUCCGGGGCUCAACCCCGGACUUGCAGUGGGUACGGGCAGACUAGAGGUGUGGUAGGGGCGUCUGGAACUAGCGGUGGAGCGGUGAAAUGCGUUGAUAUCGCUAGGAACUCCGGUGGCGAAGGCGAGACGCUGGACCCUUUCUGACACUGAGGCGCGAAAGCCAGGGGAGCGAACGGG